rnacentral:rRNA from 1 species
UCCCCAGACUCCUACGGGAGGCAGCAGUGGGGAAUAUUGCACAAUGGGGGAAACCCUGAUGCAGCAACGCCGCGUGAGUGAAGAAGUCUUUCGGUAUGUAAAGCUCUAUCAGCAGGGAAGAAGAAAGACGGUACCUGACUAAGAAGCCCCGGCUAACUACGUGCCAGCAGCCGCGGUAAUACGUAGGGGGCAAGCGUUAUCCGGAUUUACUGGGUGUAAAGGGAGCGUAGACGGCAUAGCAAGUCUGAAGUGAAAGCCCGUGGCUCAACCGCGGAACUGCUCUGGAAACUGUGCGGCUAGAGUACUGGAGGGGCAGGCGGAAUUCCUAGUGUAGCGGUGAAAUGCGUAGAUAUUAGGAGGAACACCAGUGGCGAAGGCGGCCUGCUGGACGACAACUGACGGUGAGGCGCGAAAGCGUGGGGAGCAAACAGGAUUAGAUACCCCCGUA